rnacentral:rRNA from 1 species
UAAAGGGUUCGUAGGUGGUUAAUUAAGUUAUCUGUGAAAUCCCCGGGCUCAACCUGGGCAGGUCAGAUAAUACUGGUUAACUCGAGUAUGGGAGAGGGUAGUGGAAUUUCCGGUGUAGCGGUGAAAUGCGUAGAGAUCGGAAGGAACACCAGUGGCGAAGGCGGCUACCUGGCCUAAUACUGACACUGAGGAACGAAAGCGUGGGGAGCAAACAGGAUUAGAUACCCUGGUAGUCCACGCUGUAAACGAUGUCAACUAG